rnacentral:rRNA from 1 species
CACGUAGGGUGCGAGCGUUUGUCCGGAAUUAUUGGGCGUAAAGAGCUCGUAGGCGGUGUGUCGCGUCGGCCGUGAAAACCUGCAGCUUAACUGUGGGCUUACGGUCGAUACGGGCAUCACUGGAGUUCGGCAGGGGAGACUGGAAUUCCUGGUGUAGCGGUGAAAUGCGCAGAUAUCAGGAGGAACACCGGUGGCGAAGGCGGGUCUCUGGGCCGAUACUGACGCUGGAGGAGCGAAAAGCGUGGGGGAGCGAACAGG